UACAGAGGGUGCGAGCGUUUAAUCGGAAUUACUGGGCGUAAAGCGCACGUAGGCGGCUUGGUAUGUCGGGUGUGAAAUCCCCGGGCUCAACCCGGGAACUGCGUCCGAUACUGGCAGGCUUGAAUCCGGGAGAGGGAUGUGGAAUUCCAGGUGUAGCGGUGAAAUGCGUAGAUAUCUGGAGGAACACCGGUGGCGAAGGCGGCAUCCUGGACCGGUAUUGACGCUGAGGCGCGAAAGCCAGGGGAGCAAACGGGG
rnacentral:rRNA from 1 species